rnacentral:rRNA from 1 species
AAAGUUGUUGCAGUUAAAAAGCUCGUAGUUGAAGUUCUGGCUGUAUUGGGCCUUUGCACUUGAUGCGAAGGAACCAGCAGUCAUCCGCUUGCAAAUACAUGUCCUUCCUUAACCGGUAGGCUGUAUAAGUAAGCACUUUACCUUGAGAAAAACAGAGUGUUCCAGACAGGUUUGUCCGGAAUGCGUUAGCAUGGAAUAAUAGAAUAUGACUGAAGUCGAUUUAUUGGUUUAAGGCUUUAGUAAUGAUUAAUAGGAACAAUCGGGGGCAUUGGUACUUGUCAGUCAGAGGUGAAAUUCUAGGAUUUGACAAAGACUAACUGAUGCGAAAGCGUUUGCCAAGAAUGUUUUCAUUAAUCAAGAACGAAAGUUAGGGGAUCAAAGACGAUCAGAUACCGUCCUAGUCUUAACUAUAAACUAUACCGACUCGGAUUCAGAUGAA